CAGAAAAUAGUUUAAAUUUAAAACUCUAGUCUUGGAUACUAAAAAUAGGCCAACUUUUUCUGA
rnacentral:tRNA from 1 species